rnacentral:rRNA from 1 species
CGUGCCUAAUACAUGCAAAGUCGAGCGAACGGACGAGAAGCUUGCUUCUCUGUAUGUUAGCGGCGGACGGGUGAGUAACACGUGGAUAACCUACCUAUAAGACUGGGAUAACUUCGGGAAACCGGAGCUAAUACCGGAUAAUAUUUUGAACCGCAUGGUUCAAAAGUGAAAGACGGUCUUGCUGUCACUUAUAGAUGGAUCCGCGCUGCAUUAGCUAGUUGGUAAGGUAACGGCUUACCAAGGCAACGAUGCAUAGCCGACCUGAGAGGGUGAUCGGCCACACUGGAACUGAGACACGGUCCAGACUCCUACGGGAGGCAGCAGUAGGGAAUCUUCCGCAAUGGGCGAAAGCCUGACGGAGCAACGCCGCGUGAGUGAUGAAGGUCUUCGGAUCGUAAAACUCUGUUAUUAGGGAAGAACAUAUGUGUAAGUAACUGUGCACAUCUUGACGGUACCUAAUCAGAAAGCCACGGCUAACUACGUGCCAGCAGCCGCG